UUUUACAAGCAACUCAACAUAAACAUCAGCCUAACCUCAGGAUAUCACCCACAAGCCAACUGUCAAAUGGAAUGCCUCAAUCAAGAAGUCACCCGCUUUCUCAGGGCCUACCGUAACCAGAACCAGGCAGACUGGAGCCGCUACCUGUUCUGGGCAGAAUACACCCAGAAUUCCCUCCGCAAACCCGCAACAGGCCUGACCAUGUGCAUGGCUUCCAACCUCCCCUAUUCCCCUGGUCAGGGGAGCCCAUGGAACUCUUGGCCGUUAGUGACUGGCUCCAGAGUGGCAAGAGAAGUUUGGGGGCAAUGGCGGGGGGCUUCGAAUCAGGCCUCAGUGGUCACUCCCGCUCACCACCAGAGAGCACCAUCAGCCGAGUAUUGACUUUUUCUACAGACUCCAUUUCCCAUAACCAUGUACCCGGAACUGAUUACCACCACACCUGUUUCUCAUCAGACUCUCUAUUUAAGACUCGUUCACAUACAGGCUCAUUGCAAAGUCUUUGUUUUGCCCUAGGGAACAUUACUGAGCAUUUACCAUUUGUUUUCUCCUACUGUGUUUGUACCUUGGACCAUUUAUUCGGUUUGUUGAUCCUUUGCUGACUGCCAUGACCUUUUGCCUGUUUGUUUACCACGAUUUGGAAUAACCUUUUAUGGCCUGUUUGCCAGCUACUGACCUCUGUCUGUUUGUACAAUUCGGAUAUGUUGUUGAAUAAAGCCGCACAUGAAUCCUCACUCCAUGGAUACUUUGUUACACUCAGUUUUCCAGAAGUAUAGGUGUUCACGGAAGAUGCGGGUCUUUAUCUGCUUUUUGAACAUGGUGAGAGAUUCUGCGGUCCGGAUUGAGGCGCCACGCUGAUGGGAACUACUAAACGUCAGUCGCUAAUCGAUCACAGAUUGUGUGAGGCAGCUACAGGAAGCCAGUGGAGGGGGAUGAAGAGGGCUGUGACAUGGGUUCUCUUUGGCUGGUUGAAGAUGAGGCGUGCUGCAGCAUUCUGAAUCAUCUGAAGAGGUUUGAUGGAGCUGGCUGGGAGGCCUGAAAGUAGUCAGUUGCAGUAGUCCAGUUUUGAGAUAACAAGAGCCUGGACUAAUGAGUCCAGGCUAGAUGAUGUGAGUAAUGACAGACGAGUAAAGGUAAGACCAUGCAUACACUGCUGUACAGUCCAUGACAAAAAUAAAAGACCAGCCCCUUUUUUAAUAAUAACUAAAAAAAUGAUAUAAAACAAGAUAAGAAAAAAAAUUGUUAUUUUAAAGAAUAAAACUACAUUUGUCUUUUUGUUGUGGACAGUAUAUUCUUUCAUUUGUAUUGAAUGAGUUUGAAUUGUGGAAUUGUGAUGGCAAAUUAAGAACACAUGGAGGGCGCAGAGCAAAUGUGCUCUCUCUGAGCCGCUAUAAAUUUAACGUUCUUCUUUGGCCAAAUAUGUACCUUACCUAUGUGUGUGUAAAGUAGUCAAUGUGCAAGCAGCCAGUUGAAUGGUGAAUUUAUUCUACUCUGUUGAAUUCAUAUAUUUGUAAAUCUAACUUUGAAAGAGUCAGUGCCUCCCCAGCCACGAACCUCACCGCACGUCACUGGCAGUAAUGGUGAAUAGAAACAAAAAUCUUACAUGCCCAUAUGCAUAGGAUUAUUUGCUUGCUGUCAAAUUCCAUAAAAAGUGCAUAUGAAUAUAUGUUAAAAUAUGAAUUAGCCCAUCCAUUUACACUUCCAUAAACAGAGCAAACAUUAGCUGUUUGUAUUGCCUAAACCCUCAAAGGUUAAAAAAAAAAAAAAAAAAAGAAAAAGAGAAGUUGACUUAAAAUACUAAAAACAUGCUGCACAGCUUUUUUUUUAGUUUACACAACUUUAAAAAUUACUUUUUUACUUUACUUUGUUAAGUGAACUACUUUGGUUAAAAGUUGAGUAAACUCAAAAAAGCUGUGCAGCAAGUUGUAAAAAUUGUCACCUGGAAAUCACAAGGAGGCAGUAUGAAUUUUUAUUUCAACUUUAAUAUAUUUUUGUAUGAAUUUUCAACUUUAAUGCUUAAAUCUUUUUAUUUCUUUAUUUGCAUAAAGUAAUGUUUGUUUUUUUGUCACUGAUAUUUAUGUGUUGAUUUAUUCAUCAUUAUUGCACUGGAUAUUUAGGUAGAUUUUACAUUUCUGAUGGGAUUGAUGAACAUUGUAGUUUUUUUUUUUUUUUUUUUUUAGCAAUUUAAUCAGGUAAGAGUAAAAUGAAACACCCCCCUAUUCUAAAUAAAUCUAAUAGAAUAAUUGUAGCAUGUUACUCCCAUGUCAAAUUUCCUGCCAAGCAGUAGAUGAAUCUAUCAGAUCAUUCUUCACUCUCUUUAGUUAGCAGCAACAGGGCAUGUAGGCUCUUCAACUUGUGCAAUGAGGGGCAUAAAAAAACAACAACCUUGGGUCAGAAAAAACAAGGAAGUACUUCAUCAUGACAGCAAGGGUUAGAUAGAAAGAAAGCCAGAUGAAAACUCAGAUUUAAAGGGACAUCAAAUGAAACAAAUGAUCCAAGAAAUGACCACUGAGCUGUCUUAAAAAGCUGUGUCAAUAUUCAAGACUGUGGGAGAGGCAAAUUAUGCUGUUAUAACAAGGUCUUAUCAUCAUUUUUGGCUGGACAAGAUAGUCACCUGAAGACUUGAGUUUAAUCUUCAUCAAGAAUUUACAUAAAUACCACUAAUUGCCUUUUGGUAUUACCCUACUGUGGCAAUCAUAUUUUUAUUCCAUGUAAAUUCUACUGGUAUAUUAUAUAUAUUUCACAGGGGCUUAUCAAUUUUUGGAUUCAAUAAGCAAAUAAAUGCUAUUAGUUAUUGUUUAUUAUACCACAGCACUGUUUAAUACUUGAUUCUUAUUGGCAGUCAGACGUUCUGAUGUGUGCGAUUAUUUUUCAGAUAAUACACAGCUAAAGUAGUUCCAGGAAGGUCUUGACCGCAUUACAGUUCCAUAUCACUUCCCUGAGUUAACAGAACUAAUGGAAAAAUUAGCUUACUGUCCACCACAGCACACAGAGCUAAUGACAGACAAUUUUGACAACUGACAAGGGCUCAUUGAAUUAUUAGAAAGAUAAUUUAUAGAGUUACUUGUUCACAGAGUCUUUUGUUUUUAUUACUGCAGAAAAUGCAACAAAUAAAUAAAUAAAUAUUGAUACUUGUUCACACUUGUAUUUUUGUCUCAUCACACGUGUUCUCUUGCGCUCUCUCUCUCUCUCUCUCUCUCUCUCUCUCUCUCUCUCUCUCUCUCUCUCUCUCUCUCUCUCUCUCU